ensembl:lncRNA
ACAAACUCAUCUACAUCCUGGAUGGCCUGAGGGAUUACGCCUCUAGAGGGUUUGUCAGCAAGACACAGAACAGAUGAGAAGCACAAGGAACAUCAGUGAACAUCGGCCUGUAGCGGUUGCACAUGUGUUAUAGGUGAAAAGGACACUGCUUUGGCGAAACCGGCAAGUCGAGUAAGUUUCACAGCGCAGGAAUCCACACGGAAGGAAAACUCGGGAGAGAUUCCAAGAGAGCUUAAUGUGCAUUCACACACACGUUUUAACAUCCUGACACCCGGAGAUUUUCCAUUGAACACAACCGGAGCGUAAAGGAGGACACUGGACACUCACAGACAAAUUAAUGAGAGAAAUCAAAUGCUCAACUGUAAGGAAUUCCAAUUAACUGGAAAAUAACUAAUCUGUCUUUGUUU